UACGCGUUCGUCCGUCUCGAGACGCGCGAAAUUCCCAUUGGAAAAAACGCGACGUUUGCGAAACAUAUUUUCAACGUUGCCCUCCCCCUCUCCCACAACUGGCAGACGACUAUGCCGCGGCUGUGCGUUUUUUUUCUCCGCACAAUUUCAUAACUGUACGCAUAUUAUUAUUACCUAUUUUGUUUACGGACGUGUUGAACAAAAAAACCAACUCCGACACCGUCGUCGUCGCG